GCUGGGAGUGGUGGCGCGCUCCUGUAAUCCAGCUACUCGGAAGCAUGGAUGAGCGGACGGCUUGAGAGUGGGAGUUCUGUCGGCCACCGUCCUAUGUUGAUCGGGCGUCCGCACUAAGCACGGUAUCAACAUGGUGGUCCGGGAGGAGUCUUGGAUUUCCAGGUUGUCUAAGGAGGAGUGAACCGGGCCAGGAUGGUGACAUAGCAGCCAAAAUCUCCCGUACUGUGCAGUAGUGGGAUCGCGCCUGUGAAUAGGCAGUGGUUGGUAGCCCAUUCAACAUAGUCGAACCUCAUCCUUU
rfam:Strigamia maritima strain Brora ctg7180001228646, whole genome shotgun sequence.